rnacentral:sRNA from 1 species
CGUAGUUACGUGUGAUCCAAUGAAAAUUAGUGAACACACAGCCAGGACAGUUGGGAACUGUGCAUCUAAGCUUACUCUUCUGGAGUCUCAGUCUUAAGCAUGUGUUCCCUUCCUUGUGUGAACUUUUACCAGCUGUUCUGCAUCCCACAUCCAACCGAGGAGACAAGGUGUGAUACUCACACAUUCCUCACUUCAUCCACGGAUGAUUUUCUCACUUUUCUUCUCUCCAUAGCUCCCAGUACUACCGUGGUGAGCCCCUCCAUCAUCCCCUCUGUAUUCCCCACAGCUGGCCUGGAGGACACAAGGGGCAAGAGGACUCCUUCACUGCUGAACUUGGGAGCCAUGGUUAGGAUGGUUGUGUCCAAAGUUGUGGUCAUCAUUCCACUCUAUGGAUGGGUGUUCUUCCUGUGGUGGAAGCAAAGGCCAGCAGAGUAAAGCCUCAACCCUAGUAAGGCUCCUCCGUACUAGGGUCUCUCAUCAGGGAGGUGAAUUUACAUCAAAGUAGUUGUUGGUGAUCACACACCCUGCAUCCCACAGCCUUCCAUGUCUUCUAGCUGGGAGUCAGAGCUAAUGGUUGCAGGAUUCUCCCGUGAAAGUCAUUCUUGGAUAACCCGCACUUCUGCCAUGAGUACUCCGACAUGCUCUCCUUGGAACCAUGGUCCUCCUGUGUGUUUCUGGGCCUGAAAGCCUGACUGUGCUGUUGUCUCUCUGCUCAUGGAGUUAUUGACACUGUUAAUAAAUAUCUUACUCCAAGCAA